AGGUUUGAUCUGCUCAGGAUGAACGCUGGCGGCGUGCCUAAUACAUGCAAGUCGAGCGAACAGAUAAGGAGCUUGCUCCUUUGACGUUAGCGGCGGACGGGUGAGUAACACGUGGGUAACCUACCUAUAAGACUGGGAUAACUUCGGGAAACCGGAGCUAAUACCGGAUAACAUUUGGAACCGCAUGGUUCUAAAGUGAAAGAUGGUUUUGCUAUCACUUAUAGAUGGACCCGCGCCGUAUUAGCUAGUUGGUAAGGUAACGGCUUACCAAGGCGACGAUACGUAGCCGACCUGAGAGGGUGAUCGGCCACACUGGAACUGAGACACGGUCCAGACUCCUACGGGAGGCAGCAGUAGGGAAUCUUCCGCAAUGGGCGAAAGCCUGACGGAGCAACGCCGCGUGAGUGAUGAAGGGUUUCGGCUCGUAAAACUCUGUUAUUAGGGAAGAACAAACGUGUAAGUAACUGUGCACGUCUUGACGGUACCUAAUCAGAAAGCCACGGCUAACUACGUGCCAGCAGCCGCGGUAAUACGUAGGUGGCAAGCGUUAUCCGGAAUUAUUGGGCGUAAAGCGCGCGUAGGCGGUUUCUUAAGUCUGAUGUGAAAGCCCACGGCUCAACCGUGGAGGGUCAUUGGAAACUGGGAAACUUGAGUGCAGAAGAGGAAAGUGGAAUUCCAUGUGUAGCGGUGAAAUGCGCAGAGAUAUGGAGGAACACCAGUGGCGAAGGCGACUUUCUGGUCUGUAACUGACGCUGAUGUGCGAAAGCGUGGGGAUCAAACAGGAUUAGAUACCCUGGUAGUCCACGCCGUAAACGAUGGUGCUAAGUGUUAGGGGGUUUCCGCCCCUUAGUGCUGCAGCUAACGCAUUAAGCAUCCGCCUGGGU
rnacentral:rRNA from 1 species